GCCAGGGUAGCUCAGUGGUAGAGCAGGGGACUCAUAAGCCCUUGGUCGGCGGUUCAAUCCCGCCCCCUGGCACCA
rnacentral:tRNA from 1 species